AAUAGAUUUUUAACACUGGCAGUAAAUUUUGGAACACAAUCAGAAUUUUAUAGUCCUCUAUAGGGACCUAUAAAAAAACCCAUGGGAGUUUACAAGAUAGGAGCUUUCUUUCAUGGAACCGAAUUUAGCAUGAGUACCCAUGAUUAGACAAACCCAUAGGAAAAUUUCCCAUAGAAAUUUACAGUAGGGUCGUACAUUAAUGAUCCGGCAUCAAAGAUAAAGAACUAUAGUGAAUGUUAGCGUCAGGCAGCAGUCUGUUGAAUCGAGCGUUGAUAAACGCACUUCCUUUUACAUAUUUCGGGUUACCAAUUUUGCGUCCUGGGCACUCGAUUUACGAAGCGAUUAAUCAGAGGAGAUACAUAUAGCAGCGAAGGAAAAAAAAUGCCAAAGAGACGAUAAAAAUACCCUGGGGUGCAAUUAUCAACAUGCAAUUAGAUAUGUUCGCGAGACGUACGCGCGUACUGUACUUUAGAGGUGUUUUUUUUGUAACGCGUUCGAUGAACGACGUGCGUCAAAACGAAAAUGGUAUCGUGAAUCUGGACAAUGCGACGGGACUCAGUGGGAAGCGUACGUGAAGAGGAACAACCGCGUCGUGACUUUGACUUUUUUCGGUAAUCUUCGACCGCCCAAGGAAGUGGUGCAACAUCAACAUGUAUUUAGAACUUUAAAGAGAGAGAAAAACUGGAAUGAGGUGCAAUCUCGAAAAAUUGCUCGACAUGGCCAUACCGACAUUUGUGGAUCUGCAAGGGGGAUUCAUCGUUAACAAGAAAUUUAUCGUGAAGGAAGUGACGGUGUUGAAACAGGGGGCUGUUCUCACGCAUAAUAUUUUUACGAGUCUCGUGUCAUGGAAAUUUUUGACAAAAUCCGAUAGGUCUUGCGCUUCCUGGUUGAUUGCUUAUCACCAUGGAUUGUGAUGGGAGAACGGAAGAAUCUCAUACAGCAAGGCGAAACGCCUAAUACGAAGGCCGUAUUUGAAGAUGAUGCUAUCGUAUACGUCCAGUGUUGCUAGCGGGGACGCGUUUUAAUGCGCAUGCGCCGCAAAACAGUCAUGUCUAUACUUCUGUAGCGUGAUGUGAUGAUCUCUUGGCGAGCUCCGGCAAUGUAAGGUUAGGAUUGCCAGCUGGCAACAGGCGACUGUGAUCAAGCCCGUCAUCAAUGUAUCCAUUGCCACGUUAUGAAAGCAAGCAAUUAUGAUAGCGAUGCCCUGAUGUGCCGCGGUGAUCUCGAAAGCCGGCGUCGCUGUCGUAUUGUAAGGGUACCAUCCCUGCAUGGGCAGUUGACGUGAACGACCAGCGACGAAGUCAGCGAUUGGUGUAAAACCCCAACAAAACACCGCAAUUCCGCCGAAGCUUUGAUAAAUCGCAUGAUGGAAGAUGCCCUUCCACGUGUAGCUUAUGAGUAAAUCCUCAUAUUCUUUGUCGUAGCGACUAAAUGUAGGACUAUCGGCUGUGUCCAGGAGCGUCUGGAUUCGCGCCUGACGA